rnacentral:tRNA from 1 species
AAGACACUAGUAAAAAAAUUACACUGCCUUGUCGAGGCAGAAGUUCGGGUUAAACCCCCGAGUGUCUUA